GUGAUCCUGCGGAAGGAGCAAUAUCGAGCUAAAAAGAGACUCCGUACCUGCAUACUUUCCAUUUGCAGGUGCUCGUGAGCCAUGCAGUAGAGCACGCACAUGUGGUGGCAGCCGUUCGCUGUUGCUUAGAUUGGCAUAGUUGGCGAACAAUGGCUCGUACUUUGCUGCAUGUUGAGGGGAAAUGAGUGAUUCAUCGCGCUAGAUAGAUGUUUCGAUAGCGCUCAUUUUCUCGUUAACGUAACAACGGUGUCCACUUUGGCGUCUACGCUUCACCUAGCUACUGCCUGGACCGUCGGUAGCGAUGAAAGGUGGGGAGAUAGUUCCUCUUCUUGAGUUGAACAGACUUAAUGAACCCGGCUAGAGGGUCGCCAAAACCAAACACACAUCAGUAUCAUCAUGUCAUACGUAUGUAUCGGCGAAUCGUGGCGUCCAUGUGGAGACGUCUACGUGAGCCGUUAAGUACAAAACUU
rnacentral:rRNA from 1 species